CGAUCGGGAGGCCCUUGGUGGGACAAGGGCCGGGAAUGGAUCGCACCCGCCAUCUCUGAUGGACGUGCUGCUGUGGCCCGACAGUGCGCGCG
ncrna:unclassified sequences Rhodo-rpoB RNA